rnacentral:rRNA from 1 species
GGGUUGUGAGGUUAAGCGACUAAGCGUACACGGUGGAUGCCCUGGCAGUCAGAGGCGAUGAAGGACGUGCUAAUCUGCGAAAAGCGUCGGUAAGGUGAUAUGAACCGUUAUAACCGGCGAUGUCCGAAUGGGGAAACCCAGUGUGAUUCGUCACACUAUCGUUAACUGAAUACAUAGGUUAACGAGGCGAACCGGGGGAACUGAAACAUCUAAGUACCCCGAGGAAAAGAAAUCAACCGAGAUUCCCCCAGUAGCGGCGAGCGAACGGGGAGCAGCCCAGAGUCUGAAUCAGCUUGUGUGUUAGUGGAACGGUCUGGAAAGUCCGACGGUACAGGGUGAUAGUCCCGUACACCAAAAUGCACAGGCUGUGAACUCGAAGAGUAGGGCGGGACACGUGGUAUCCUGUCUGAAUAUGGGGGGACCAUCCUCCAAGGCUAAAUACUCCUGACUGACCGAUAGUGAACCAGUACCGUGAGGGAAAGGCGAAAAGAACCCCGGCGAGGGGAGUGAAAAAGAACCUGAAACCGUGUACGUACAAGCAGUGGGAGCACCUUCGGGUGUGACUGCGUACCUUUUGUAUAAUGGGUCAGCGACUUAUAUUCUGUAGCAAGGUUAACCGUAUAGGGGAGCCGCAGGGAAACCGAGUCUUAACUGGGCGUUAAGUUGCAGGGUAUAGACCCGAAACCCGGUGAUCUAGCCAUGGGCAGGUUGAAGGUUGGGUAACACUAACUGGAGGACCGAACCGACUAAUGUUGAAAAAUUAGCGGAUGACUUGUGGCUGGGGGUGAAAGGCCAAUCAAACCGGGAGAUAGCUGGUUCUCCCCGAAAGCUAUUUAGGUAGCGCCUCGUGAAUUCAUCUUCGGGGGUAGAGCACUGUUUCGGCUAGGGGGUCAUCCCGACUUACCAACCCGAUGCAAACUACGAAUACCGAAGAAUGUUAUCACGGGAGACACACGGCGGGUGCUAACGUCCGUCGUGAAGAGGGAAACAACCCAGACCGCCAGCUAAGGUCCCAAAGUCAUGGUUAAGUGGGAAACGAUGUGGGAAGGCACAGACAGCCAGGAUGUUGGCUUAGAAGCAGCCAUCAUUUAAAGAAAGCGUAAUAGCUCACUGGUCGAGUCGGCCUGCGCGGAAGAUGUAACGGGGCUAAACCAUGCACCGAAGCUGCGGCAGCGACACUAUGUGUUGUUGGGUAGGGGAGCGUUCUGUAAGCCUGCGAAGGUGUGCUGUGAGGCAUGCUGGAGGUAUCAGAAGUGCGAAUGCUGACAUAAGUAACGAUAAAGCGGGUGAAAAGCCCGCUCGCCGGAAGACCAAGGGUUCCUGUCCAACGUUAAUCGGGGCAGGGUGAGUCGACCCCUAAGGCGAGGCCGAAAGGCGUAGUCGAUGGGAAACAGGUUAAUAUUCCUGUACUUGGUGUUACUGCGAAGGGGGGACGGAGAAGGCUAUGUUAGCCGGGCGACGGUUGUCCCGGUUUAAGCAUGUAGGCUGGUUGUCCAGGCAAAUCCGGAUAAUCAAGGCUGAGGUGUGAUGACGAGGCACUACGGUGCUGAAGUAACAAAUGCCCUGCUUCCAGGAAAAGCCUCUAAGCAUCAGGUAACAUCAAAUCGUACCCCAAACCGACACAGGUGGUCAGGUAGAGAAUACCAAGGCGCUUGAGAGAACUCGGGUGAAGGAACUAGGCAAAAUGGUGCCGUAACUUCGGGAGAAGGCACGCUGGUGUGUAGGUGAAGCCCCUGCGGGUGGAGCUGAGACCAGUCGAAGAUACCAGCUGGCUGCAACUGUUUAUUAAAAACACAGCACUGUGCAAACACGAAAGUGGACGUAUACGGUGUGACGCCUGCCCGGUGCCGGAAGGUUAAUUGAUGGGGUUAUCCGUAAGGAGAAGCUCUUGAUCGAAGCCCCGGUAAACGGCGGCCGUAACUAUAACGGUCCUAAGGUAGCGAAAUUCCUUGUCGGGUAAGUUCCGACCUGCACGAAUGGCGUAAUGAUGGCCAGGCUGUCUCCACCCGAGACUCAGUGAAAUUGAACUCGCUGUGAAGAUGCAGUGUACCCGCGGCAAGACGGAAAGACCCCGUGAACCUUUACUAUAGCUUGACACUGAACAUUGAGCCUUGAUGUGUAGGAUAGGUGGGAGGCUUUGAAGCGUGGACGCCAGUCUGCGUGGAGCCAACCUUGAAAUACCACCCUUUAAUGUUUGAUGUUCUAACGUUGGCCCCU